rnacentral:rRNA from 1 species
AUUGAACGCUGGCGGCAGGCUUAACACAUGCAAGUCGAGCGGGGACUUCGGUCCUAGCGGCGAACGGGUGAGGAAUGCUUGGGAAUCUGCCCAGUAGCGGGGGAUAACGUUUCGAAAGGAACGCUAAUACCGCAUACGCCCUACGGGGGAAAGGGGGGGAUCUUCGGACCUCUCACUAUUGGAUGAGCCCAAGUCGGAUUAGCUAGUUGGUGGGGUAAAGGCCUACCAAGGCGACGAUCCGUAGCUGGUCUGAGAGGAUGAUCAGCCACACUGGAACUUAGACACGGUCCAGACUCCUACGGGAGGCAGCAGUGGGGAAUAUUGGACAAUGGGCGAAAGCCUGAUCCAGCCAUGCCGCGUGUGUGAAGAAGGCCUUCGGGUUGUAAAGCACUUUAAGCGAGGAGGAAUGGCUCUUGGUUAAUACUCUAGGAUAGUGGACGUUACUCGCAGAAUAAGCACCGGCUAACUCUGUGCCAGCCGCCGCAGUAAGAC